rnacentral:lncRNA from 1 species
AUUCAUUCUACAGUACAAUCACAAAGAGAGUGUGAGGGUGAGAACAACACUGUUUGAUUCUACCCUCAAGAAUCAUACAAAAAAUCAUCAACAACAACAACAACAAGAGAUUCUCAAUGGCUUCAAGAAUUGUUUCUCAACAACAACCCAAAGGUGUGUGUUUUCUUCAAUCAUGUUCAAAGAUUGGAACUUUGAGGGUUUGGUAAUGUAGCGAUAAGAAAAAAUUCUGGGUUGGUUUUAUGGUUUUAUACAAAAUAAUUCGACCGUUGAGGAGAGAACGUUGUCUCCAUCAGCUUCAAAAAGAGGUUUUUCAUUCUCAUUCUCUCAUUCCUAUUCAUUCAUUCAUUCAUUCAUUCAUUCAUUCAUUCAUUCAUUCAUUCAUUCUACAAUCGCAAAGAGAGUAUGAGGGUGGUGAGAACAACACUGUUUGAUUCUACCCUCAAGAAUCAUACAAAAUCAUCAUCAACAACAACAACAAGAAGAGGUUCUCAAUGGCUUCAAGAAUUGUUUCUCA